CUGGACUUAAACAGCACUGCUGCAGGAGGGACCCACAGAGCACAAGAGACACCCUUUGGGGAAGGAACUUGAAAAGCUCCUGCUGACUCACACCUUGCCAAGGGUGCAAAGGAGAAAUGCAAGACCCCAGCAUCAUUUCUGGGAAAUAGGCGGGGUUCCCGUGCGACCCAGGCGCGGCUGGAGGAAACACAGCAUGUGGAAAUCCCCGAAGGAAAACCACGAGCUGAGGCACCGAGAGAAGCCUCUCUCCAUCCCGCGCCACGCUCCCUCCUUUACCGAGCUGCCUGAGGAACUCCAGGGCUGCAGCAGAUGCCGUGUUCCCCAACAACCUUGUCACGCUCGCCCAGGGAGCAAAACUCUCGCAAGGACUGAGGUACACCAGCCUGUAUCACUCCGAAACAGAAGUACUGAUAUCCUCUGCUGAAAUUUCCUGUCGAAGCUGCCACCCACCUGUGGUUCAAUAAACACCAGCCACCUCUCA
rnacentral:lncRNA from 1 species